rnacentral:rRNA from 1 species
GAUCAUGGCUCAGGAUGAACGCUGGCGGCGUGCUUAACACAUGCAAGUCGAACGGGAAACUUUUCAUUGAAGCUUCGGCAGAUUUGGUCUGUUUCUAGUGGCGGACGGGUGAGUAACGCGUGGGUAACCUGCCUUAUACAGGGGGAUAACAACCAGAAAUGGUUGCUAAUACCGCAUAAGCGCACAGGACCGCAUGGUCCGGUGUGAAAAACUACCGGUGGUAUAAGAUGGACCCGCGUUGGAUUAGCUAGUUGG